CGGGAAGGAGGCGUUCGUCUAGAUUUGUCGGCUUGCGGGGAGACUUCAGGAGUCGCUGUCUCUGAACUUCCAGCCUCAGAGACCGCCGCCCUUGUCCCCGAGGGCCAUGGGCCGGGUCUCAGGGCUUGUGCCCUCUCGCUUCCUGACGCUCCUGGCGCAUCUGGUGGUCGUCAUCACCUUAUUCUGGUCCCGGGUAAGACCCACGGCUGCACUCAAUCCGUCCCCAUUCCCAUCUCUGAGUGGUCCUAGUCCUACCCUGCCCCCUCCCAGUGUCUUACCCUCUUGGGUUUUCUUGUUUCCCGCCGCCCCCAGGCCUGCCCUGCAGCCUGCCCCUUUUUCACUUCUCUUCCUGUGCCCUGCUCCCAGGACAGCAACAUACAGGCCUGCCUGCCUCUCACGUUCACCCCCGAGGAGUAUGACAAGCAGGACAUUCAGUGAGCUCUUGGGACGGGGUGGCCAGAACGAAGAGGUGGUGGGAGUGGAGGGGUCUUAGAAUAAGUCCAAAGGCCUGGGCCAGUCCACUUCCUCUCUGCAGGCUGGUGGCCGCGCUCUCUGUCACCCUGGGCCUCUUUGCAGUGGAGCUGGCCGGUUUCCUCUCAGGAGUCUCCAUGUUCAACAGCACCCAGAGCCUCAUCUCCAUUGGGGCUCACUGUAGUGCAUCCGUGGCCCUGUCCUUCUUCAUAUUCGAGCGUUGGGAGUGCACUACGUAUUGGUACAUUUUUGUCUUCUGCAGGUGUGGUAGCAUCCAAUAUUUGGGGAUGAGGGAGGAAGGUUGGCCCUAAACCUGAAGGUUUUUCCCCUACCCAGCCCUUUCCUCCAUGUGUGAGAUACCAGAUCCACUCAACAUCCUGUAGGCUUUUAAAGUUUCAUCCCCUACCCCCCAUGCCACCUGCCCUACACUUUCAGAGGUGGGGUCUCUGGUUUGGAGAUUUGGGUAUUUAUACUGAAAGGGUUUCUGAAUCUACCACUUGCCUUGGUAGUGCCCUUCCAGCUGUCACUGAAAUGGCUUUAUUCGUCACCGUCUUUGGGCUGAAAAAGAAACCCUUCUGAUUACCUUCAUGACGGGAACCUAAGGACGAAGCCUACAGGGGCAAGGGCCGCUUCGUAUUCCUGGAAGAAGGAAGGCAUAGGCUUCGGUUUUCCCCUCGGAA
rnacentral:lncRNA from 1 species